rnacentral:lncRNA from 1 species
UUGGACUCUGAAUUUAGGCUGAUCAUCAAUAAGGUCGAUGUGUAGUGAGGUCGGUUCUCUUUUCAUGUGCUAUGCGGACUCAAAGGUGAGGCUACUAUUACUCUUCAGUCGAGUGAUCGAUCGGAAGCAAUGUCCGCCUAUUGAAGUUUUUCUAAUGAAAGAUCUUUCAAUUUUUAAAUCGAUCAAAAUUUAAAAAAUAAUUAAUGAAGAGAGAAAAAGUCGGGGGAGAGAGUGGGAGC